AUUGAACACUGGCGGCAGGCUUAACACAUGCAAGUCGAGCGGAGAUGAGGUGCUUGCACCUUAUCUUAGCGGCGGACGGGUGAGUAAUGCUUAGGAAUCUGCCUAUUUGUGGGGGACAACAUUCCGAAAGGAAUGCUAAUACCGCAUACGUCCUACGGGAGAAAGCAGGGGAUCUUCGGACCGUGCGCGUAUAGAUGAGCAUAAGUCGGAUUAGAUAGUUGGCGGGGUAAAGGACUACCAAGGCGACGAUCUGUAGCGGGUCUGAGAGGAUGUUCCGCCACGCUGGGACUGAGACACGGGCCAGGCUCCUCCGGGAGGCAUGCGUGGGUAAUAUUGGACAAUUGGGGCAACCCUGAUCCAGGCAUGCGGCGUGUGUGAAGAAGGCCUUAUGGUUGUAGAGCACUGUAAGCGAGGAGGAGGCUACUGAGGCUAAUACCCUUGGAUAGUGGACGUUACUCGAAGAUUAAGCACCGGCUAACUCUGUGCCAGCCGCCGCCGUAACAC
rnacentral:rRNA from 1 species